GACGAACGCUGGCGGCGUGCUUAACACAUGCAAGUCGAACGGAAAGGCCCUGCUUUUGUGGGGUGCUCGAGUGGCGAACGGGUGAGCAACACGUGAGUAACCUGCCCUUGACUUUGGGAUAACUUCAGGAAACUGGGGCUAAUACCGGAUAGGAGCUCCUGCUGCAUGGUGGGGGUUGGAAAGUUUCGGCGGUUGGGGAUGGACUCGCGGCUUAUCAGCUUGUUGGUGGGGUAGUGGCUUACCAAGGCUUUGACGGGUAGCCGGCCUGAGAGGGUGACCGGCCACAUUGGGACUGAGAUACGGCCCAGACUCCUACGGGAGGCAGCAGUGGGGAAUAUUGCACAAUGGGCGGAAGCCUGAUGCAGCAACGCCGCGUGCGGGAUGACGGCCUUCGGGUUGUAAACCGCUUUCGCCUGUGACGAAGCGUGAGUGACGGUAAUGGGUAAAGAAGCACCGGCUAACUACGUGCCAGCAGCCGCGGUGAUACGUAGGGUGCGAGCGUUGUCCGGAUUUAUUGGGCGUAAAGGGCUCGUAGGUGGUUGAUCGCGUCGGAAGUGUAAUCUUGGGGCUUAACCCUGAGCGUGCUUUCGAUACGGGUUGACUUGAGGAAGGUAGGGGAGAAUGGAAUUCCUGGUGGAGCGGUGGAAUGCGCAGAUAUCAGGAGGAACACCAGUGGCGAAGGCGGUUCUCUGGGCCUUUCCUGACGCUGAGGAGCGAAAGCGUGGGGAGCGAACAGGCUUAGAUACCCUGGUAGUCCACGCUGUAAACGGUGGGUACUAGGUGUGGGGUCCAUUCCACGGGUUCCGUGCCGUAGCUAACGCUUUAAGUACCCCGCCUGGGGAGUACGGCCGCAAGGCUAAAACUCAAAGGAAUUGACGGGGCCCCGCACAAGCGGCGGAGCAUGCGGAUUAAUUCGAUGCAACGCGUAGAACCUUACCUGGGUUUGACAUGGAUCGGGAGUGCUCAGAGAUGGGUGUGCCUCUUUUGGGGUCGGUUCACAGGUGGUGCAUGCCUGUCGUCAGCUCGUGUCGUGAGAUGUUGGGUUAAGUCCCGCAACGAGCGCAACCCUUGUUCACUGUUGCCAGCACGUUAUGGUGGGGACUCAGUGGAGACCGCCGGGGUCAACUCGGAGGAAGGUGGGGAUGACGUCAAGUCCUCAUGCCCCUUAUGUCCAGGGCUUCACGCAUGCUACAAUGGCUGGUACAGAGAGUGGCGAGCCUGUGAGGGUGAGCGAAUCUCGGAAAGCCGGUCUCAGUUCGGAUUGGGGUCUGCAACUCGACCUCAUGAAGUCGGAGUCGCUAGUAAUCGCAGAUCAGCAACGCUGCGGUGAAUACGUUCCCGGG
rnacentral:rRNA from 1 species